rnacentral:misc_RNA from 1 species
GUGAAGAACGCAGCGAAAUGCGAUAAGUAAUGUGAAUUGCAGAAUUCAGUGAAUCAUCGAAUCUUUGAACGCAUCUUGCGCUCCUUGGUAUUCUGAGGAGCAUGCCUGUUUGAGUGUCAUUAAAUUCUCAACUACACUGACUUUGAAUUGGUGUGGCUUGGAUUUGGGGGGAAAAUUGUUGUGGGCUUUUUGUAUAGUCUGCUCCCCUGAAAUUGAUUAGCGGUACCUUUGUGGAACUGUCUACAGGUGUGAUAAUUAUCUACAUCUGCUGGAAUGCUGCUUUCUAAACCUUACUUGUAUUGACAAUCUUGACCUCAAAUCAGGUAGGACUACCCGCUGAACUUAAGCAUAUCAAUAAGCGGAGGA